CACGCUGUAAACGAUGAUUACUAGGUGUGGGGGGUCUGACCCCUUCCGUGCCGCAGUUAACGCAAUAAGUAAUCCACCUGGGGAGUACGACCGCAAGGUUGAAACUCAAAGGAAUUGACG
rnacentral:rRNA from 1 species